rnacentral:tmRNA from 1 species
GGGCUUGUACUGGUUUCGACGGGGAUGUAGAAGUUUGAGAAGCCAUCCGCAGAUCUCCGCACCUGCGAUAAAAUGCGGAAACCUAAAUAUAAAUGCAGACGAAAAGUUAGCAUUCGCAGCGUAAGGCUGCUGUCGGCCCGGAGUCGCUCACUGCUCCGGUUCCCGGCAUCAAACAGGUGAGGACCUCCCGCUCCUAAGCUUUGCGGUCCGGGAAAAUUCAUGAAGCUACUAAGGUCGUAAGCCUGUCACCGGGCGUGUGGCCAAGGGAAUGUUAAAACAGUGACUGUGAUGGGAGAAACUUGGAUGGACAUGUCUUCGGACCGGGGUUCGACUCCCCGCAGGUCCAU